AUCUUCAGCCAUCAUCAGUUCACAUGGGCAUCAACAACAACAACAGACUUCCAAACCUUCUCUGCAACAUCUCUGACUUCAUUAAUGGCUACCCACUUCUUUUUCUCUUUUAUACCAACUUUUUUAUUCUCUUUUAGAACCUCCCAUCACUUCAUUUUCUCUCAAUUUUUCUCUAAUUAUUGAUUUUUUUUUUUUUUUUUUUUUUUUGUAGAUUUUUAUUGAUGCCCAUUUGUUUUUUUUUUCAUCAAUUUGCUUACCCUUUGUUGAGUUUUUGUAGCUGGAACUAGCCAUCCAUUAUGGGAUUGAGUUUUAGUAGAAUAAGGACGAAUUUUAUAGAGAUAGACAAGUUCAUGUUGCUUCAUUAGAUUUUUUUUUUUUUUUUUUUAGUUUUGUGGGAUUCUUGUAACCCAUUUGUGUGUGGAUUUUGAUUUGGGGGUUCAUGAAUUUAGCUUUGUAGGCAAUUAGUAGAAUUGGGUAUUGACCAAUUUGUUGAUUUUUCGAGUUUUGAUUAGGGUUUCUGUGAAGUUUUAGGUAGUUUUAGAGGUCUGGGAAUAUGUCGGCGGCAAAUGUUGGUGGGUUUUUGGAAUGGAAAGAGGUUUUUAUUUCACAAGUGAAGGGUAGCAGAGUAGUUCACUAUUACUUCACUGAUACUAAUGGGAAUUCUAUUCUUGCUGUUGUGGGCACUGAGAGAAGUCUUAGACACAUGGUUUAUGUUGUUGCAGACGAGUUUUAUCAGCUUUAUGGAACUGAAAGGAAUAUCACUGCUGGUUUUAAAUGGAGGUCGAAAAGAGAGGUGGUUGAAUGGCUCACUUCUUCGGUCAUGAAACAGCGUCCUCCACAAGAUCCAUCCAGUAUGUAUUCUAUCUUGUGGUAUUUGUUUUAAUUAUGUUUGAAUCAGUAAAUUUAGCUGAGGUUGUGUAACUGUUAUGUUCAUAUUUGCUAAUUGGUCUUAUCUAUUGUAUUUUAAUUGAUUACGCUGAACAUAAUGCAUACACUAUAGAUUUAAAUGCAUUAACGUAUUGAAAUAAGUCUCAUGUCUUAGUGUGGGAUUCUGUUGUGACUUCUGGAUGAGCAUGCUUAUGUCUAUUUCUGUCAUGCAUAGUGCUGAUAUUGCUGCACUACAGCUUGGAUGGAUGUACAAUGGAUGUCUUUUACAUUAGAAUUGAUAAUUUUAGGAAGGAAAUGAGAUUUAUCUUGAUUUAUGGAUCAUUGUUGGGAUGCUCGGACAACCCUAAGGGCCUCAGAAAAAAGUGACAUGAUCCAUUAUACCAAUUCUGGGUAUUCUACUUUUUGACUUGUUAGGAAAUGAAAGGAAGAUAGUUGAUUCUAAGGUUACUUAAAAGGAACCCAAUUUGGUGUAAAGGGAGCUUAAAGCAUUUAUCUGCAGAUGGUAUCAUUGUCAUCAGCAUCCUUUUAUAUUUAGGUGCAAUAUGACCAAGAUAGGGUGUUUAACGUUCUUUUUGGCUGUUGUGAGGUAGUCAGAUAUCUGAGGAGUGAGGCGACUGUAGUUCUUUGGCAUCGAUGGUCCAUAUAAUCCAGUUCUUUUGGCAAAUUAUAUUCCAUUUGGUGUGGUGCAAGAUGUCGAGCAAAUAGCACGUGAAAUCAACUUUUACUCCAGAUUCAAAAGUUUACUAUAUUUUUAAACUACAUGCCUUCUGCAGUGAAAUUUAAGGCUCUAUCUUGUUUCAGUGUGCAUGUUGGGUGGGGAGGAGAAGGUACAAAAUACCAGGACCUGUUGCUGCAAUGGAGAGAUAUUAUUAUGGGGAGCUAAGAAACUAUUAAGUUAUUUUUUUUGUUUCUUUUUUGGUUGUAAUGGCAGAAAAACAGGGUAGUUGAAAUCCCUUUUCACUACCUUGAUAAACAUUAUUUUCAGACAUGCAGUUCUUUAAAAUCGUGCUUUCCUUCAAAAGAAAUUAUUUUGUGUACACUGUACAGAUAAAUUCUUAAAAGGCACACAAAAACGGAUUCAUAUAAGUUGUUGAAAUGAUGGUUUUCAAUGAAUUCACUGUAAUGGUUCCUAACUACAUAACCUCUCCAUGCUUUUGAGUUGUCAAAAAAUGAUUUUUAGGAGACUCGUGAAAAACAACAUGAUCUUUAUCCAACAUUUUGUCAAAUGUUAAAAUGAAAAAUUUCAAACAACAAAAUGUAGUUUCUCCCAUAGUUUAAAAUUCCGAAUCCGGGCGAAAUUUCGGAUUCAGAAAAACGGUAUAUUCCGACAUUCCGACCCUUGAAACAAAUGUGUCACCUGAAAUGUCGGGAAUAUUCUCGGAUAUUCCCGGAAUUUACAAUGCCGAUUCUCUAAAAACCGGCAUAUUCCGCCGAAAUUUCACGAAAUAUGUCGGCAUUUUGAACUAUGGUUUCUCCUCAACACGGAAAUGAUUACUGAACUUUCAACAACCAGAUUAGAGACAUUCUCAAUCUCCAGUUCUGAUUCCCAUCUCUUGGAGCCAUGAGUCUUGGUAGCAAACAAAGGUGCUCUUGCUUGAAACUAGCAAUAGAGUUUUUGUUGUCUUUGCCUUCAAAGUUAGUUACAGGAUGUGGAUUUGUUGAAUGGCGGCGCAGUAGCUGUUGCUACAUAGUGGAUAGCAUCAGUAAAUUCAUGUACGUACCAUCAUCCCAUCUCACAUUUCACUCCCCCUAAUUUUUUAGAGGGGCAUAAAUUUUACUCCCACAACCUUUUCCUUGUGGCACGAAACAACGACAUGUCCUGUGAUGCAAAUCUGUCUCUGGGAAUAAAUCAAGGAUAUCACUCCUUAUCAACACACAAUAAACACGAAGGGUAUCCUAUACCGCCAAGGGCGAAUAUCAGCUUUUAUUCCAUCAAAAAUAAAGAAUUGAUUUUUGCUAGAUAAUUGAAGGCAAAUAUAGGUUGACACACUGGACUCGUAAUCAAGCUUAAGUUUCUAAAUAAGACAAACUUCCUAACUUAACCUGACCUGACUAAAAUUCCAAACGAAACACUAUUUACAUUAAAUAUGUAACAGCCAGGAUUACAAAGUUGACACAAGUCGUGGACUUACUGGAACGGAAACAUAGACACUUCCAGGCGAGGAUCUCCAAGAUCCCGCAUAUACAUUUUGGCAUUAAAGGAUUGGUGUUCCUUUGGAGCAACCCUCAGCCAUAAUACAAGGACAUCUCUUUCAAAUCCUUUCUAUCCUGUUAGGAGACAAUUACAUUUGGGUCUUUAGUGGGUUUUAUAGUUUUUUAGUUGUUAGUCUUUUUUGGGAUAUGUAGUUUUUUGUUUGUCUUUUUUGGGAUAUCUCAUCUCCUUUUAGCAACCUUAUGUACCCUUUUUCAUAUAUCUCUAUGAUAUGAAAUGAAUUGGUUACAAAGCAUGUAAAUUAAGAAAGAAGAAGGAAGAAGAAACAAGUACAGAGACGGUGCUCUCACAGUCACAGCUACCCUGAUUUCUUUUGCGCUUUAACAUAAUAUUUAAUUUAAGAGUUUGUUUGGGUAUUAUUGGUCUUUGUAUUUGACACCAUAGUUUAAAAUGCUGAUUUCAAAUGAAAUUUUGAAUUCUUAAAAAAAAAAAAACGGAUUUUGCCAAGAUUUUGACACUAGAAACCAAUGUAAAGGCCGAGUAUUCGUGGAUAUUCGUGUAUCUGAUUCCUCAAAAAUCUGCAUAACUCGUGGGAUAUCCUCCCCGAUAUUUUGAACUAUGUUUGACACCAUAAAACAAUACUUUUUCUGUCAUAUGGCAUAGUACGACACCACGUGUCGUAAUCAAAGAACAGAACCACAUGCUGAACAUCUGGUACUCGCCUCCUCGGUGAAUAAAUCAUCUAAUCUCAUAUGGAAAGACCUCACCGACAUCUCUUUAGUGAAAACCAGGUUCAAAGCGAUAACUCUCUACGAAUUUAGAAGUCUGUUUGGUAUGGCUGGAAUUGACAGGAUUUGUUGUACAGACGAUAGAUCACUGGCGUCUGGUGUAUUUUUUCCAAAUGCAUUUGCUCGCACCAACUCUUAUCCUUCUUUUAGUUUAUUUACUUUGUACAAAAUUUGUUUAGAGAGGAAUUCCAUUAGUAGAAAUUGAUUACUGCUGUUUUAAUAAUUGAUACUUAAUGAUUUUUGUUCAAUUGGAUGAUUUCUAAACCAAUGCUUACAUUUCUGCUAACAGUUUCAUCAAAACCAGACCCAAGACAAGCUUUAGGAUCUCCUGACUACUUACCCGGUUCCGAUGCUCCAAGGGACCAUCCAUCUUACCAAACAGUAUGUGAUCUGAUUAAUUUUUCAUUACCAUCUGUACAAUUUCUUGAACUACGCCUGUCCUAGUUUCUUUAAUGUCUGAUUUUGUGGAUUGCUCUAAAUUUAUUGCAGAGCCAGAAUGCGAGCAAUUUAAGAGGUCAUAGUUCAGACAUUUUAUGGUCUGGUGAUUCGUGGACCUGCAGUAAACAGCUAACACAUUACCCAGCAUUUUGCAGGAAUGGGAUCACUAUUGGUGUGAGUUAUCUGCAUUUCACUCAACUUCUGUUUCAGAAUAAGCUUAUUGUUCAUAAAGCCCAUUUUUCUCCUUUGUCCAGGUGCAUUCCUUUGUUUUUGUUAUGGCUAAAGAAGACAGGCAUUAUCUCGCGUACUUGGAAGAUAUGUAUGAAGAUAGGAAAGGACAAAAGAAGGUUAGAGCACGAUGGUUUCAUGACAAUCGGGAAGUUGCACGUGUAGUAACCCUGCCAAAGACCCAUCCAAGAGAAGUCUUUAUUACACCUCAUGCUCAGGUCAUUAGUGCAGAAUGUGUUGAUGGUCCUGCUUCAGUUUUAACUGUUGAACAUUAUGAGAAAUGUUUGCUCUCCCUCCCUCAUGUUUCUUUAGCAACAAUGCAUGUGUGCCAUAGGCAAUUCAGGAUGAACAAAAUUAAGCCCUUUGAUGUAACAAAGUUGCGGGGAUAUUAUUUUCAAAACGUCGUCUUGUCUUUAGAAGAAGUAGAAGACUUAGGUCAAGGAGGCACUCUAAAACAAGGAGUUAAGAGGUCUAGAAGUUGCCGAGGGCGUGACAGUUUUGUUACAAGUAAAUCUGGUGUCAACGUGCCAGCCCAGAGGAGCCUGAUAACAGCUUCUGGACCUACAUAUCAGAACCCAAAAUUUGGAGCUUUAGAUAGCAGACCACCUACUUUGAAGUAUGUUGAGCCCAAUCACUCACCUUUCAAGGUUGACGCUGAGAUAGAGGUUCUAUCUCAAGAUAGUGAAAUCCGAGGUUGCUGGUUCAAGUGUACGAUCUUGCAUCUAUCACGAAAGAAAAUGAAGGUUCAAUAUGAUGAUUUGCAGGAUGUAGAUGGAUGUGGCAAUGUUGAGGUAUGUGUGUCUCUCAUGACGCUUACUAUGUCUUUUCAUGUUUGUUGUAUAGGUUUGAAUACAGGGAUGUGUGUUGUUGUAGUUUAUUAUUGGUUGUUUAAAACUUUAAAUACAUUAUGAAAAUAAUACAGUAGUUAUCCUAACCCCAAGAAUGAAAACAUAUGUAACUAAAUAAAGUUCCCAUCAUUAUGUUUGUUGACAGGAAACUACACCAUGGUAAAGUGAAAUUCACCUUUUUUAUCCCUUUAUCUUGUCUAGGAAUGGAUCCCUAUCAGAAUGGCAAAUCCAGAUAAAUUAGGAAUGAGAUGCUCAGGCCGCCUAACAACCCGUCCACGCCCUCCCUCUCAAGAUAAUGCAAGUAAUAUUUUUGAGAUCGGAUCCCCGGUGGAUGCAAAAUGGCAUAGUGGCUGGUGGGAAGGGGUGGUAACUGGAAUUGAUGACUGCGGAAAUGAUAACCUGCAAGUUUACUUCCCAGGUAUGUGCUUUGCAAAAUUUGGUGUGGUUUUUCUUUUUCUAAUUUUACAUUACAACUAAAUAAAAUAGCUAAUGCGUUCAGAAUGUUAAGUUGGUGGGCAUUUAGUCUUUUUUGUGAAUUAGAGGUCAUUACUUGUUGCAGGACCAUUAAUAUUAAUGUGUUAUUCCUAUAUUUUCAGGUGAGGAUACCUUCUCAUGUUUUCAAAGAAAGAAUUUAAGAAUUUCCAGGGAUUGGGUAAACAAUCAGUGGCUUGAUAUUGGGGCAAGGCCAGACAUAUUGUCUGUCAUAUCUGCAGAUGUUAGUCCAGGAAUGAAACUAUCUGCAUGCUCCACCGCUGCCAAGGGGGCUGAAUUUGGAAGCUCUGGUAUGUCAGAAUGUGAAGUUCCCACAGCUUUAGUUCUUGAUACCGUUGAGGAAGAUAAGCAGGAACUAAGUAAUUUAAAUAGAUGUGAUGAUCAUGCGGAAAAUAUGGAGUGGGUGAGGUCAAAUAAGCAACCGAAGAUUGAAGAUGAAGGUAAGGGAGGUGACAAUGAAAAUGAAACCAAAAAAGCUGUAGACAAAGGUAAAGGAAGUGUCGACGACCAUGAAGAUCAAACAGACAAAGCUGAAGAUAAAGAUUUGAAUGGUGUUACUGCUGAUGAUGACGAAAAGGACAAAAUGGAAGAGGAUACUGAGACUGUUGGGCUUAAAUGUGAACCGGAAGCUGCAGGACUUGUGGAGGUGGCUGUGAUGCAUGUGAGAGGAAGUAUAAUAGUCACGCUGCCAGAUGAAGAAAAGAUUUUGAGGUUGCAUCCCAUUUUAGCUACCAGAUUGUUGUGUAUAUGAUAGAGAAUUGACAAUCCCUCUUGAGUCAAGAGGGAAGAAUUCAGUUUUAAGAUCGACUUGGUGGCUUGGCAGCUGUACAGAUUAUAGAGAUGGGUGAUGUGUAGUUAGUUACAGAUCAGAUUAGAAAAAGUAAUCAAGAUGGAGAUCAGGUCCAAAGUAUGGCUCACCGUGGUUUGUCGCUUGGCCGUUUCCCCCAGAGUCUAGACUAGAGGUAGUACUUAAUGUGUAUUACAUAAAAAUUUCCAUAUCAUGUUUCAAAUGAACCUUUUUUUUCUUUAAAAGUGAAUGCUGUGUUUUAGACUUUUAGUCAGAGUAUUAAUUUUGCUUCUAGCUUUUAUAUCCAGCUUCAUUCUUUUGUGCAACAUUGUUGCUUACAGAAAUGGAUGUAGACAGUGUUGAUCAAAAGUGUCAUUUCGGAAUAUGGGUAACCUUACAUGAUCUUUACUCAGUAGGUGACCCGACCCGAACUUUGUUCAGGUAGUUGUUAACCUAGGUUUGCUAUCUUCUUCAGUAAAAGUUUAUCUACCUAUAUAGAAAUAAAACCUUCAAUACAAGUGUUGAAAUUUUCUAGAAUAUAUUGAUGGUCCAAGUCAUGGAAUAUAGUAGUGAUGAAAGAAUUACUUGGUGAGCAAGCAUAUUCCUUUGGAGGCUGUGUGCCAUAUAGUGAUGGUGAUGGAGAUAACAGUCUCCUUUGGGUUGUUGUUAGCUCAGGUUUGCUAUCUUCUGCAAUAAAAGUUUGUCUAAUUAUGUAGAAAUAAAAGUUUCAUUAAAGUGUUUGAAAUUUCUUAGAACUUAUUGAUGGUCCAAGUUAUGAAAUAUAGUAGUGAUGAAUACUUGGUGAGCAAGCAUAUUCCUUUGGAUGCAAGGGUGGGCUGUGUGGCAUAUAGUGAAUAUAGUGAUGACUGAUGAGAUAACAGUCUCCUUUGUGGACUUGAAAAUACCUCACCUGUCUUGCACUUUGGGACUUUGUGGAGGUUUUGGAUUUCUUAUUAGCAUCUUGUGGACUUUUCUCUAUCAUGCAUAUACUUAGAGCUUAGUGUGCAACUAAGUCUGGAAGACUGCAAUGCAGUGCCACAAGCAGUAACUAGUAAAGUAUACCAAGUAGUAAAGUGUUUCUUUCAUACUUUUGAUCUUAGAAAAUUUUCCACUAAAAAAUUGCAAAUAAGCCAAAGAACUAUACCCCAAAAAAAAAAGCAGGAGGAAGAAGUUUUGUUUUAUAGAAAACAAGCUAUAGGACCACAAAUCCAUCCACAAACCCCAAAGUCAAUCUGUCUGUCAUGAGAUUCAAAUGAUCUUGAUAAAGUUUUUCCCUCUUCUCUCAGAACAUCCUCAUACAUGCUUUUCAUCUCAUAUUCUAUCAUCAACCAACCAUGGUUUGUAGGUGAAGAUUUGUCAUUUUUACAACAUUUAUCUUGGUUUGUGUUGAUGAAUAUGAAAACAUAUACUAUAAAUCUAUAACUAUACAUAAUUUUCACCACUGUAUAUUUAGUCAAUAAUAUCUAUAACAUUGGAAAAUGUGCAUGGCAUGCAUGCUUACUUAGCUUAUUUGUCCUUAACAAACAAUCCUUAUGUAGCUUAUUUGUCUUCAUUUAGAGCCCACUUAUCAAUGAAGAUAGCAUCAUCAUCAUCAUCAAAGAUUUGUCACUCUCUGAUAACAAAGUUAAGGAACAAAUCACAAUUAGUAAAUUGAUUCUCAUCUUACUAUUAACCACAAAAUCUUAUAUAUAUACAAAUAAAACUAAAAGAAAAUACUCUGUAAUAAAAAAUAAUAUAAUUAAAAAAUCAUAUAAGAAAAAUUAAAAAAAUUUACUAAUAAACUUGAGAAUUUACUAAUAAUUAAAAAAAUUAUAAUUGUUUACUAAUCAUAUGAUUGUUUCGCAGAAAAAAACCAAAAAAGCUGUGUUUGGUUCGCGGAACAAUUAUUAAUUUUUUAAUAAAAAAUCAUAUAUUUUUACUAAAUUUAUUAAAAAAUCAUAUGAUUUUUUUUUUUUAAAACUUGAGAAAAAAGAAUAAAAUUUACUAAAAAUCAUAUUUGUUUCUCUUGUUUCUCAAACCUAAAAAAUAUAUAUUCUUAGUUUUUACUAAAAAAAUAAUAAAUAAAAAUUGUGUGUUGGUUCGCGGAAUCUAGAUUUCAGAAAAACAAAAGGUAGUAUUAGUAUAAAUGUAUAACGAAUGGUAUAGCCAACAAUUGUGCGCACAAAAGAGAGAAGAGAGAGGGAAUUCUUAAGAAUUCUACCGAAGUUAAACACUUACCUUUAUAUCUAGCUAGUUUUGGAAAUUGGUUUCCAUUUUAUAAAUACAGAAACCAUAUUCCGCCACACUUAGUCAGAAUCUGUUUUCCUAAUUUAUCUUAAGUUUUAAGUUAUUGUCGUUUUGAUUUUCUCCCGUUUUUCAAAAAACUGAAUGCCCUCGAACCAAACACAACCAAAAUCCAUAGUCAAUCUUUUUAAUUCUAUUACUAUACAAAAAUCUAUCUAUAAAAAAUAUUAAAUUAUAAAAUUAAUAUUUGAUUUUAUAAAUAUAAAACAAUUUUAUUGAUAAACUCAAGAAUCUACCUAAACAUAGAGGACAUGCGCGCCACAAAGUGCACUGCAAGUUAUUUUUAAAUAACAAAUCUAAUUUUCUAAAUACAUAUUUAUUCAAACCAGUGGUCAUCGCAUUGUUAUCUAUUAUCGACCGAUUUUAGGAGGUCCAUUAUACUUUGGGUGGAUCCAAAAUUUGUGUGCCUCCGUCCACUUUGGUUUUUUUUUUUUUUUCUUUCUCUCUCAUCUUCUUCUCUCCUCGAACUCUCUCUCUAUCUGCUUCAUCCCUCUUUAUUCUUCCUCCUCUUCUCUCUUCUUCCCCGUCUCGUUCUCCUUCACAGCCCAAAGUCGGUCCCCACCGUUUCACGGUUCUAUAUUCUUAAAACAAUAUAUUUAUAUUUAAUAAAUUUUUUAUCGCAUAAAAAAUAAACACGCUACAAACUGUGUUUAGAAGGCCUUUAAAAAAUAAAUAAAUUGGUGAGGGUGCAUAAAUCACCAUGUACAUAGAGUUGUACAAGAUCAUCCUCAAAAUCUUUAGUCACACUUUCCCCAUUCCCACUCCCCCUCCCCACACAAGAAACUUUCUUGAAAAAAAUGCCACUCUUUUUUGUCUAACUCUUCGUACUCUGCUUCACUUCACUCUCUCCAAAAGAUACUCCUUGCUCACCACGUUAUUAUCUUUUCUCCCAAGGAAAUCCGUCUUCUUUGACUCCUCUUCUUCUCAAACAUUUUCAUAUAAAAAACCUUUAUUUUGAUUCAAAACUAAGUGAAAACCAUUAAACCAACAUCCCCAUUUCAUAAAACAGAGCAAAAUUGCAUUUAGAAGAAGAUGGUAUGUUGAAAAAUUUCUUUAAAUUCAAAAAAAUGGAGUCAUUAGUAUUAAAACCUAUUUUUAUUCAUGGGUUUUCUUCUUCAUUUCAUUUUCUUCUGUUAUUUCUUCUAUUGGUUUAUUGGGUUUUCAAGAAAAUGAAAAAUAAUGAAAAUGGUAGUAAUAAUAAUAAUAGUAAUAGAUUUUUGUAUUAUAAGCCUACCCUUUUAAUUUCUAUUGGUUUAUCAAUCUUUCAACUUGUCAUUUGUGUUUUAAAUUACUUUUAUUGGUAUUCAAAUGAUUGGUUUGAUGAAAAGAUUAUUACCCAGUUAGAUUUAUUUCUCAAAACAAUAACAUGGUUUGCAAUUUCUGGUUAUUUAUGUUAUUCAAAUUACCAAAAAAUUCCCAUUUUCUUAAGAAUUUGGUGGGUUUUUUACUUCUUUUUAUCAUGUUAUUGUUUAGUAUCAGACCUUAAACAUCAAGGGUUUACAGUUACACCAACAUAUGUUUUUGUUUCCGAGGUUGUUUCCAUUGUUAUGGGGGUUUUCUUUCUAUAUAUGGGAGUUUUCGGAAAUAAGGAAGGAGAAGUAAGUCAUCUUCAACAACCUUUAUUGAAUGGUCAUGGUGAUGAUGGUGUGAGAAAAAAUGUUAGAGGGGAUGACUAUGAAUAUCCAUUCUCGAAUGCAGGUAUUUUUAGUAUACUUACUUUUUCAUGGAUGAGUCCUUUACUAGCUGAAGGUAAUAAGAAAACUAUAGAUCUUGAGGAUGUUCCUCAACUUGAUAGUGGGGAUAGUGUUAAUAAAGUUUAUCCGACUUUUAAAAAUAAGCUUUACUCGGAUAAUGGCAAUGGUGAUCAAGUAUCAACUUUGAAACUUGUGAAAGCAUUGCUUUAUGCGACAUGGAGGGAAGUUUUAUUAACGGGUGUAUUGGCUUUAGUUUAUACCUUUGCUUCUUAUGUCGGUCCAUACCUUAUUGAUACAUUUGUUCAGUAUCUUAAUGGUCGUCGUGAAUUCAAUAAUGAAGGGUAUGUUUUGGUUUCUGCGUUCUUUUUUGCAAAGCUUGUUGAGUGCUUCUCGCAGAGGCAUUGGUUUUUUAGGUUGCAACAAGUUGGUAUUAGGCUACGUGCUGCUUUAAUUGCACUGCUCUAUAAGAAAGGUCAGACUCUUUCAAGUCGAUCAAAACAAAGUCAUACUAGUGGGGAGAUAAUCAAUUUCAUGACUGUUGAUGCGGAGAGAAUUGGUGAUUUUAGUUGGUACUUGCAUGAUUUGUGGAUGGUUCCCAUUCAAGUGAUUCUGGCAUUAUUGAUAUUGUACAAGAAUCUUGGACUUGCUUCCAUUGCAGCUUUUGUGGCCACUGUAAUUGUGAUGUUGGCAAAUGUUCCAUUGGGAAAGUUGCAGGAAAAUUUCCAGGGGAAGUUGAUGGAAUCUAAGGAUGGAAGAAUGAAGAAAACAUCGGAAAUUCUGCGGAACAUGAGAAUCCUUAAACUGCAGGGAUGGGAAAUGAAGUUUUUGUCUAAGGUUAUUGACCUGAGAAAGAAUGAAGAAGGAUGGCUUAGAAAGUAUGUAUACACAUCAGCCAUGACUACUUUCGUUUUCUGGGGAGCCCCUACAUUUGUGUCUGUAGUAACAUUUGGGGCCUGUAUGCUUAUGGGAAUCCCACUAGAGUCAGGAAAGAUUCUUUCUGCACUUGCAACAUUUAGAAUAUUGCAAGAGCCCAUCUAUAACCUUCCCGAUACAAUCUCAAUGAUAGCUCAAACUAAGGUGUCUCUUGACAGGCUUGCUUCUUUCCUACGUCUCGAUGACCUGCAACCUGAUGUAAUAGAAAAAGCACCUAAAGGUUCCAAGGUCUCAAUUGAGAUAAGAGAUGGGUGUUUUUCAUGGGAUCCCGCUUCUUCUAGUCCUACGUUGCAAGAUAUCAAUUUCCGCGUCUUUCAUGGUAUGAGGGUUGCUGUUUGUGGUACAGUUGGUUCCGGAAAGUCGAGCUUACUUUCAUGUAUCUUAGGGGAUGUGCCAAAGGUAUCUGGCACGGUUAUGUUAAGUGGGAAAAAGGCUUAUGUCGCUCAAUCUCCUUGGGUACAGAGUGGGAAGAUUGAAGAAAAUAUAUUGUUUGGGAAGGAGAUGGACAGAGAAAGGUAUGAGAAGGUUCUUGAAGCAUGUUCAUUAAAGAAGGACCUUGAAAUUCUGUCGUUUGGGGAUCAGACAGUUAUAGGGGAAAGAGGUAUCAAUCUGAGUGGUGGGCAGAAGCAACGAAUACAGAUUGCGCGCGCCUUAUAUCAAGACGCUGACAUUUAUCUCUUUGAUGAUCCUUUCAGUGCAGUGGAUGCUCACACUGGAACACAUCUCUUUAAGGUAUCUUUUCUUCGAUUAAACUAAAACUCUAGUUUAUAUCAUAUUUGAUAAAAGAUAUUAGGAACAAGCAUGCAACUUGAUAUAGAUUGGGCAUCUUUUCUCUUGAAUAUAGGUACCUAUAAAUUAAUAUCUAGCUAGUGAACAUCUUAAUUUAAUUGAACUGAUGUUUGUUUUUAUUGGUAUAUACAAAUAUAGAUGAUUUUAAAUAUUUGGGCCAUUUUUAUUACGUAUGUCUGACUGAUUGAGGUAUUUAUCUGAUGACUGUAAGUAUCUGUCGUCUAUCAAUUCCAUCACCCUUUCAUUGAAUGGCUUUCAGGAGUGUCUAUUAGGACUUUUGGGUUCCAAGACAGUGAUUUAUGUUACUCAUCAAGUAGAAUUCUUACCAUCUGCGGAUCUUAUCCUGGUAGGUGUCAAACUUAAUACUUCUCAUUCUUUAAUAUGUUUGAUAUUAUUUGGUUACAAUUUUUCACCUUCUCUUGUUUGACAGGUAAUGAAAGAUGGAAAGAUUUCACAAUCGGGUAAGUAUGAUGCGAUUCUCAAUUCAGGAACAGACUUUAUGGAAUUGGUGGGAGCACAUAAGAAGGCCUUGUCAACCCUCAAAUCCGCAGAGACUGCUGCAGAUUCUAAACAUGCAAAAGGUAUUGAGGAAAAUGUAUCCGUGGAGAAUGAUAAGAUAGCUGAGCAUGGAGAAGAGAAAAAGAGAGAAGCGAGCAACAAAGACGAAAAUAUCAGUCCACAAGCACAGCUUGUUCAAGAAGAAGAGAGAGAAAAAGGAAGAGUUGGUCUUCAAGUGUACUGGAAAUAUCUUACCACAGCAUAUGGGGGAGCUUUGGUGCCAUUUAUAAUUUUUGUGCAGGUUCUGUUUCAGACCCUUCAGAUUGGGAGCAAUUACUGGAUGGCUUGGGCCACUCCCAUAUCCGAGGAUGUGGAACCUCCGGUUAAAGGCUCUACUCUUAUAUUUGUUUAUGUUAUCUUGGCAAUUGGAAGCUCCAUUUGUGUUCUUGUAAGGGCUCUGCUUCUUGUAACCGCUGGGUACAAAACAGCGACAAUACUUUUCAACAAAAUGCAUAUGUGUAUCUUCCGUGCUCCUAUGUCAUUUUUUGAUGCUACCCCAAGUGGAAGGAUAUUAAAUAGAGUAAGUGAGCAUAAUCAUUUGUUUUCAUUGUUACAGUUUCAUCUGUGGAUUUCAAGAGCUAAUAACUAUCUUCCAUCCAGGCGUCUACAGAUCAAAGUGCAGUGGAUCUGAACAUUCCAUACCAAAUAGGAUCAUUUGCCUUUUCAAUUAUACAACUUAUCGGCAUUAUUGUAGUAAUGUCACAGGUGGCAUGGCAGGUCUUUAUUAUAUUUAUACCUGUGAUCGGGACCUGCAUUUGGUAUCAGGUAAUUCUUCUAUAUUCAACGUUUAUUUCUCCGCACUUGAUUUUUGUAAACCCUGUGAUAGCAUUAUGUAAGGGAGUUAAAAGAACCAUUAAUGUUCAAUAGAAGCAAGCCAAGUAACCAGUUUUGCAGUGUUUAAACUUUAAUGAACAUUAAUAGCCAAGUAACUUGUGAUCGGGCUCUGCUUUAAAAAUGUUUCACACUGAAGACAUGCCACACCUCAAAGUAGUACAUAAGCCUCAAGAAUAGUCUGCUUUAAUAACACUAAAGACAUGCCAAUGUUGAAUCAAAGUAUGUCUUAAAGGAGUAAUUGCACAGCAGCCCAAACCCUACUAGGUGAAAGAGAUUCAAAAUGACAACUCAUCUAAAUCGUACUAGAUGUGUUUCAAUAUUACUUUUGAUAGAAUUAAUGAUCUCGCAUAGAUGUUAGCUCGAAUUCAUUUUUCCAGGUCUCGAAUGUUGAUCAUAAAAAUUGCCUUCACUAGUGAAUCCAUAUAUACUGCUUAAGAUACAAGAAAAAUAUUUUGGAAGGUGUUUUCAUCACUUGUUUGCCAUAAAAUGCAGUCUUUACUUAUUGUCCUUCACAUGUGCACAUGCACCAACUGGAUGGAAGAUCUUUUACUAACUAUUGAGCAUCUUCUUGUGGACCACUCAAUUUAGUUAUGUUAAUUAAAAUUCUUGUUUUCAGCAAUACUAUAUACCGACAGCACGAGAAUUAGCACGCUUGAUUGGAGUAUGCAAAGCACCACUUAUACAGCAUUUCGCAGAAUCUAUCUCGGGAUCAACUACUAUCAGGAGCUUUGAUCAGGAAUCAAGAUUCAUGGACACAAACCUGAAGCUGAUGGACAGCUAUUCACGUCCCAGGUUCUAUUCUUCUGGUUCAAUGGAAUGGUUGUGCUUUCGACUAGAUAUGCUAUCAUCCAUCACAUUUGCCUUCUCAUUGAUAUUCUUGAUCUCUGUGCCAGAGGGAACAAUUGAUCCUGGUAAGUGGAUCCCACUAGGCCUUCACAAAUGCUACAUUCUGAGGACUGAUUGGCUUCAGAAAGGAAUAAGUAUCGCUAAUGUCUUUUCUCUUGUUUGAUAGGAAUUGCGGGAUUAGCAGUUACGUAUGGGCUUAAUUUGAACAUGCUACAAGCAUGGGUAAUAUGGAAUCUUUGCAAUCUUGAGAACAAAAUUAUAUCUGUUGAAAGAUUACUGCAGUACACAUGUAUCGCCAGUGAGCCUCCUCUUGUGAUAGAAGCAAAUAGGCCAGAUGGUAAUUGGCCUUCACAUGGUGAAAUUAAUAUUCACAACCUACAGGUAAUCUCAGUCCAUGUAAUAUUGAAGAUCCAAUAUGAACUUAUUUUCUUUCUCUUUAACAUGAGAUACAUACCAUCUUCCAGAUAUGAUGUAAUUUAUCUGAAAUAUAUUUCCGCCUAUUAUCUGUUUAAAGUUGUAUAUAUUAUUAUGCUGAUUGAAUGCUAUAAUGGAUAGGUUCGUUAUGCCCCACACAUGCCUCUUGUUUUACGAGGUCUUACAUGCACUAUUCCUGGGGGUAUGAAAACUGGCGUUGUUGGGAGAACAGGAAGUGGUAAAUCGACUCUUAUUCAGACACUUUUCCGCCUAGUUGAACCUGCUGCUGGCGAAAUUCUAAUAGAUGGUCUCAAUAUCUCUACGAUUGGACUGCAUGAUUUGCGGUCCAGAUUAAGCAUAAUUCCACAAGAUCCAACCAUGUUCGAGGGGACUGUUCGUAGCAACCUUGAUCCGCUUGAAGAGCACACGGAUGAACAUAUAUGGGAGGUGCGUUCUUUUCUCUUUUAAAACUUAGGAGCACUGAGGAAAUUUGAGAGAGGAAAUUUCAGCUAUCUUCUUUGGUGCCCUAUAUUGCAUUCAAUGUGAGCAUACUAAUGUUAAUGUAAAAAACGAGUUCAAAGAAUGGUUACCAAUAUAAUUGCAUUUUAAUCUCUUAAAGUAGGUAAGCACUUCUAUAUAGCUGAGAUCCUGAAGUGAUGGUGCAUAAAUGCACCUUCAGCUAAUUUCUCUUGUUCUAUUCAGCAUUUCUACAAUUUCUACCAUUUAACAUCUCUUUCAAAGUUUCUUGUCAGCAGGAAUAACUAAAAUUUGUACACGUUUGUUUGAUAUGUUAGGCGCUCGAUAAGUGCCAGCUUGGAGACGAAGUAAGAAAGAAGGAAGGGAAACUUGAUUCCAUAGGUUUGCUCCUCUUAUUGGCUAAUCCAUUGACUUUAUAUUUGAUUUCAUAGCUUUAUAAUAUCCUUAGUAUGAGGGACACAAUUUCCAUUUGAUGUUGUUGCAGUUACUGAAAACGGAGAGAAUUGGAGUAUGGGUCAAAGACAGUUGGUUUGUCUUGGACGAGUACUACUAAAGAGAAGUCAAGUUUUGGUGCUGGAUGAAGCUACUGCUUCCGUGGAUACUGCAACCGAUAAUUUGAUUCAGCAAACACUUAGGCAGCACUUUUCGGACUCCACAGUAAUCACAAUUGCACAUCGAAUAACAUCUGUUCUUGAUAGUGAUCUGGUCCUACUUCUCGAUCAUGGUUAGUACAAGAAUAUAGGUCAUAUAUUUAUCCCUUUUUUUUUCCUCUAGGGUUUUCACUUAUAUUUCAAAUUCUUUUGUUUUAUCCACAGGCCUUAUUCUGGAGCAAGACUCCCCAUCAAAAUUACUAGAAAACAAGUCGUCAUUGUUUGCAAAGCUUGUUGCUGAGUAUACAGUACGAUCGAGUUCGAGCUUCGGUGAUUUAAGUGCUUCUUGAUGUAGGAUGUUAGUUAGGUUGCAUUCACCUGUGAUGAAUGGAUGAUGAUGACGAUAACCAAUAGGCAACACCAGUUUUGUUUAUGAGGAGGCCAUAACAUUAUGGUCUGAGAGCUAAGACUGGAGCUUUAAUAGGUGACAAUAUUUACUUGCUCAUUCUGAGAGGUUAGAGUAGAACUGUCUCACGGAAGCCGAAGAAAGCCAUCCAAUUGCUUGUUAGAGGCAGGUUAUAAUUAUGAGUUCGAGGGAGGUGCGACAUUGCACGUGUAAACUUGUAUUGAACAAUAACAAAUAAUAUGCAAGUAAAUUUUCAAGUAUAAACAGAGCAAUUAUUGCUCAUAGCUAAUUAUAAAUUAGUUUUAGUUUGCUUCAUUUUGUUGGAGACAAAAUAAUGUGUAACAGAAAAUUUUCUUCUCCUGUUCGAGAGAAACUAUUAGAACGCUUAAUUUUGUUGGAUUUCCAUCAUGGAUCUCAGUGGAAACAACAUGCAUGUAACAUCCAAACGGAGUAAGCAAGGGCUUUGCAGAUGUUGUGAUUCAGCUUCAGGUUGAGGACACGCUAUUGAUGAUGGUUUACGAUAUCUAUUAAAGGUCUUCUUCCCUAAGGGAUGGACAUUUGGUACUACUAUUACUGUGGCCUGUUUUGAGAUUUUGACAGCUACCUGAUUCAAGCCUUCACUUGAGGUACUUUCAGAAUGCGAGAUAAAGGGCUGCUUUUCCUAUAUCGCGAAGUUACAGAUUGCAGUGAGACUCAUAUCCAGCAGAUUGCAGUGAUUUGUUCGCGAAUACUUGAAUGCUGAUGACGUUUUACAAACUUGGGGAUUGUACGCAAGGUCUUGGGAUCGAUCACCACUCUCACACUCUAUAAUAAAAAAGUAAUCUCUGUUCUCCAAGGACCUGAGGACCUUCUCCAUGUGGAUGUGGACAUUUCGUCGAGCCACUUGAAUCUUCAUGUGUGGAUGCUUCGUAAGUUCAUGUUUUGGUUUGGACUAUUUUUCUUUUUGUUUUCUCCUUCAAGAUGUUUGUUAGUUAGUUUAACAGAAAUUAUACAACUUCCACAGAAGAAGAGAAAACAAUAAACUACAAUUUGCCAGAAGAAGAGAAAACAAUAAACUACAAUUUGCCAACUUGAAAAAUCGGAAAUUUCCUGACCCUUAACUUCCCAUCAGUCCAUCACCCACAGGUGUAUGUCUUUCUUGUCUUACUACCACCAGUCUUCUUUCAACAAGGCAUAUUCCUUCCAUGGAGCAUGGAAGCUGCUUAUUUUGACUCUCUGGCUCUCACUUUCUCUUUAAGAACAUGUACCAUUGUCUUACUAUCACCAGUCUUGUUCAUGGGGUUUCAGCUCAUCUUCUUCUCUUACUUGUUCUAUCUGUUUAUAAGAAACCCAACAUUAGAAGAUUGUAACCACUAAAGCUUGACUUCCACUAUUAUUGAAGGUCCAAUUGUCAACUUUUCAUUAAAUAAAAAAAGGGGGAUUUAGAGAUACCCAAAAAAUAAUAGGAACUCUUUGAGAUACCCCCAGAUUUAGAAACUCUUAGAGAUACCCCAUUUUUCCAUUUGAAGCCGGUCAACCAAGUCGUUGACCAUGGUCUGACCAGUCUUCAUAAUUUUUAGACAAUUUUACCCUCCCACCAAUUUUUAGAAUAGAGGAGGAAGAAGAAGGUGGAGUUUGAUGAUGUAACGGUAGAUAGGAUUAGAUAUAGAUCUAGAUUUAUUUUGAACGGUUAGGAUAAGAAGUUGUAGUUGUAAGUGGGUUUGCUGACAUGGCAUUAUUGAUGACUGGGCAAAAUGACUAGGAUGUGGGUUUAAAUGGUGGGAGGGUAAAAUUGUCUAAAAAUUAUGAAGACUGGUCAGACCAUGGUCAACGGCUUGGUUGACCGGCUUCAAAUGGAAAAAUGGGGUAUCUCUAAAAGUUUCUAAAGCUGGGGUAUCUCAAAGAGUUCCUAUUAUUUUGGGGUAUCUCUAAAUCCCCAUAAAAAAAAGUAGUGGGUAAGAUACAUAUUGCUCACUUUAGUCUUGUGGGACUGAAUUUUUUUUUUUGUCUUUGAUGUUUCAUGAAUAGGCCUAUCCUUGUGAUUCCAAUGAGGGUCCUGUGAUGACAAAAACCCUCCUCCCUAUUCAACAUUAUGUCGUUUUUAGUUGACCAAACACCAAGGUUACAUCUUGUGAUGCAAGUGGUGUGUGUCUUGUUAUCCACUUAGAUGGUUUGUUAUUUGUAUGAUGUGGGAAGGGAUCUCGAGUUCUUUUAGUGCUCCAACCUAUGAAAACAAUGAAACAUACACUUGGAGAGUUUCGUCAUACGCAGAGAAGUCACUCUGCUGCAAGGUGUUUACUUGGGUCUGCCUGUCUGGACAAAAUUUUCAUAGAAUUUUUAGUUAAUAAUUGUCACCAUCACCUAUAUUAUCUUCCUGGGUAAAAUAUGCUAACUAUUUUGUAUUCUAUUGUGCUUUUUCCUAGUUCCCUCCAUCCAAAGAGUCAUCACUUCACUUUCCUUCCAAGGAAGCUGCCUUCUUUUGACUCUAUGUCACCCUUACACUAAAAAUCUUCACUUCACUUUAUAUUGGUAUGAAAUACUAAACAAAACACAACCAAAGCUGUAUACAAAGGAUUACCCUAGUAAUGUACAAUUUCCUCUUUAAUUCUCUUUUUGUUCAUGGAUUUUCUGCUAUUAGUUACAUUAUUCUUUUACUAGUUCUUUCUGUUUCUUGGAUUUACAAGAAACUCACCAAUGAGAUUGAGAAUAGGUCUUUGUACCACAAAAUAACCCUUUUCUCUUGUAUAGCUUUAUCACUGUUUAAUCUUCUCCUAUGUGGUAUAAACUAUUUUUAUUUCAUUACAAAUAGUUGGUCACAUGAAAAGAUUGUAUGUCAGUUGGAUUUAGUAAUCACAGCAAUAUCUUGGUUUGCUAUUUCUGCUUACUUGUAUUAUUUCCAUCACUUGAAAUUUCCUGUUUUCUUAAAGAUUUGGUGGGUUUUCUUCUUCUUAUUAUCAUGUUAUUGUGUAGUAUUCGACGUUAAUCAUUCUCUUGUACCAAUCCAUCUUUGGAUUAAGGAUGUAGUUUCUUUUGUGAUAGGGGUGUUUUUCCUUUAUGUUGGAGUUUUUUGUAACAAGGAAGGUGAACAAACAUUUCUUGAAAAGCCACUUUUGGGUAAUGGUGAUGAUGGUUUGAGGAAGAGUACACUAAAAGACAAUCAUGAACCUCCAUUCUCAAAAGCAGGUCUUUUCAGUGUCCUUACUUUCUCUUGGUUGAACCCUUUGCUCGAUGUAGGUAACCAGAAAACAAUAGGCCUUGAUGAUGUUCCACAACUCGAUAGUAGAGAUAGUGUUAACGGGGCCUAUCCAAUUUUUAGAAAUACGCUUUACUCCUAUAGUAGAAAUAGUGAUCAAGUAUCAACUCUCAAACUUGUGAAGGCAUUGCUUUUUGCGAAUUGGAGAGAAGUCCUUUUUACAGGUUUCCUCUGUUUUCUAUACACCAUUUCUUGCUAUGUUGGUCCAUACCUUAUUGAUAAUCUAGUUCAGUACCUUAGUGGUCACCGUGAUUUCAAAAAUGAAGGAUACUUUCUGGUUUGUGCGUUCUUUUUUGCGAAGCUUGUUGAGUGCUUCUCGCAGAGGCAAUGGUUUUUUAGGAUACAAGAGGUGGGUAUUAGAGUACGUGGUGCUGUGAUUGCAUCGAUCUAUCAGAAAUCUCAGACUCUCUCAAGUCAAUCGAAGCAAGCUCAUACUAGUGGCGAGAUCAUUAAUUUAGUGUCCGUUGAUGCUGAGAGACUUGGUGUUUUCGGUUGGUACUUGCACGACUUGUGGAUGGUCCCUGUGCAAGUGAUUCUGGCCUUACUGAUACUGUACAAGAACCUUGGGCUAGCUUCAAUUGCUUCGUUUCUGGCCACUGUACUUGUGAUGUUGGCAAAUGUUCCAUUCGGCAAGUUGCAGGAAUAUUUCCAGGAGAAGUUGAUGGAAUCUAAAGAUGGAAGAAUGAAGAGAACAUCUGAAAUUCUGCAGAACAUGAGAAUCCUCAAACUUCAGGGUUGGGAGAUGAAAUUUUUGUCUAAAGUUGUUGAUCUCAGAAAGAAUGAGGAAGGGUGGCUGAAAAGGUACCUGUACACAUCAGCCACAACCUCUUUCAUUUUCUGGGAAGCUCCUACAUUUGUGGCUGUAAUAACUUUUGGGGCAUGUGUUCUUAUGGGGAUCCCACUAGAGUCUGGAAAGAUUCUAUCAUCGCUUGCAACGUUCAGAAUACUACAAGAACCCAUAUAUUCUCUCCCUGAUACUAUUGCAGUGGUAGCUCAAACUAAAGUUUCCUUUGAUAGGAUUGCAAAUUUUCUUCGUCUCAGUGAUUUGCAACUUGAUGCAAUUGGGAAGCUUCCUGAAGGAUCUGAUGUCUCAGUUGAGAUAAAUGAUGGGAAUUUCUCUUGGGAUCCCUCUAACUCUAAUCAUACAUUAAAAGAUAUCAAUUUGCAAGUAUUUCAUGGCAUGAGGGUAGCUGUAUGUGGUACGGUUGGCUCCGGAAAGUCAAGCCUACUUUCAUGCAUUUUAGGAGAAGUUCCAAAAAUAUCUGGCACCGUUAAGUUAAGCGGGAAAAAGGCUUAUGUUGCCCAAUCUCCUUGGAUACAGAGUGGAACUGUAGAAGAGAAUAUAUUGUUCGGUAAGGAGAUGGACAGAGAAAGUUAUGAGAGGGUUCUUGAAGCAUGCUCUUUGAAGAAGGACCUGGAAAUUCUUUCCUUUGGGGAUCAGACAGUUAUAGGGGAGAGAGGAAUCAAUUUGAGUGGUGGGCAAAAACAACGGAUACAAAUUGCACGUGCCUUAUAUCAGGAUGCUGAUAUAUAUCUCUUUGAUGAUCCUUUCAGUGCGGUGGAUGCUCAUACGGGAACACAUCUUUUUAAGGUAAGGCUUUUUGGAUUUGGUAACACAUUUUAAUUUUAUUGAAAUGCAUCUCUAGAUUAUAUACUCUAGGAAAUAAAGCACACUCUUACAAUAUUUUGAGUGUGUCCUGUCAAUAUCUGUUAUAUAAUGGGCAUCUUCUUACAGGAGUGUCUACUAGAACGUCUGCAUUCCAAAACAGUGAUUUAUGUUACUCAUCAAGUUGAAUUCUUACCUUCUGCGCACCUAAUACUGGUAUGUCUUGACAUUUCUUCCCUCUCUCUAAUAUGUUUUACCCAAUCGGAGAUGAUUAUCUACUUUUUCUUGUUUGAUAGGUAAUGAAAGAUGGAAAGAUUAUACAGUCGGGCAAAUAUGAUGAGAUUCUCAGUUCAGGAACAGAUUUUAUGGAACUAGUGGGCGCACAUAAGAAGGCCUUGUCAACCCUCAAGUCCUCAGAGACAGGACUAGCUUCUAAACAUGCUAAAAAUAUUCAUGAUAAUGACUCGAUGGAGGACAGUAAUAUUGACACGCAAAAAGAAGAGAGAAAUAUAGAACGGGACAGCAAGGACGAAAUAGUCGGGCAAAAUGCACAGAUUGUACAAGAAGAAGAGAGAGAGAAAGGUAGAGUUGGUCUUCAGGUCUACUGGAAAUAUAUUACCAUGGCAUAUGGGGGAUCUCUGGCAGCGUUGGUAUUAGUGAUACUAGUUCUGUUUCAGAUCCUUCAGAUUGGGAGCAAUUACUGGAUGGCUUGGGCCACUCCUGCGACGAAGGAUGUUAAACCACUGGUCAAUGCCUCUACCCUUAUAUUUGUGUAUGUUGCCUUGGCCAUUGGAAGCUCUUUUUGUGUGCUUGGUAGGACCGUGCUGCUUGCAACAGCGUCGUUUAAAACAGCAACAAUACUUUUCAACAAAAUGCAUAUUUGUAUUUUCCGUGCUCCUAUGUCAUUUUAUGAUGCUACCCCAAGCGGACGGAUACUUAAUAGAGUAAGUAAACAUAUAUGUUUGUUUUAUUUGUCUUCGUAUUGUAGUUCAAUACCUAAUUUGCUGUCUCCCAUCCAGGCUUCUUCAGAUCAAAGUGCAUUGGAUCUGGCCAUUUACAAUCAAAUGGGAGCAUUUGCUUCCUCAUUCAUACAAGUUGUUGGAAUUAUCUCAGUAAUGGCUCAGGUUGCAUGGCCUGUUUUUAUUAUUUUUAUACCCAUAAUUGGGACCUGCAUUUGGUAUCAGGUAAUGCUCACCUCGUCAUCGGUUUUCUUUUUCCUCCGUAACACAUUUUUCUUUUCCACAACUGAAGUUUGGAAUGUCUGCUUAAAGUCUCUCUUGUAUAUUUCCUCUCAAAUGUUCAAACAUAUUGCAUGUAAAUCAUCAGGAACUGCAUAAUUACUUUUGAAAGACCAUUCUCACUACUUUUGAGCAAAACCUUGUGAGACCAUUUAUCCAACUUUUGAGUAAAACCUUGCUCAUGACUCUGAUUUUCAGCAAUACUAUAUAUCGACUGCCCGAGAACUAGCACGUCUGAUUGGAACAUGCAAAGCACCCAUAAUUCAGCAUUUCACUGAAUCUAUCUCUGGAUCUACAACCAUCAGGAGCUUUGAUCAGGAAUCAAGAUUCAUGGACACAAACCUGAAGCUGAUGGAUGAUUUUUCGCGCCCCAAGUUUUACUCUGCUAGUACAAUGGAGUGGCUAUGUUUCCGCUUGGAUAUGCUUGCAUCAGUCACAUUUGCUUUCUUUUUGAUUUUCUUGAUCUCUGUGCCGGAGGGAACCAUUGAUCCUGGUAAGUUGUUCCCAUUUCAACUUUACUGAUUCAAAAACUGUAGUCUGACUGUGUUUGAUGAGAACUGGAGACAUGUCUUGUUAUGGACGAUUUCCAUGAGAAUUCUUUAUAAAUAAUAGAAAUUCCCAGGGAAAUGCACAUAAUAAAUGGAUAUAGUUUCAUUCUGAGGAUCAAUUGAUCACAGAAAGAACGUCCAUAUCAUUAUUUUCUUGUCUUACAGGCAUUGCAGGUUUAGCGGUCACUUAUGGGCUGAAUUUGAGCGGGGUUCUAGGAUGGGCAAUCCGGCAGCUUUGCUUUGUUGAGAACAAGAUCAUAUCUGUCGAGAGAAUACUUCAAUACACAUGUAUCCCCAGUGAGCCUCCUCUUGUGAUAGAAGCGCAUAGGCCAGACAAUGAUUGGCCUUCACAUGGUGAUGUUAAUAUUCGUGAUCUACAGGUAAUCUCAAUCUCUGUAAUAUAGAAGAUCCACUGCACUUUUUUUUUUUUCCAUCUGAUGAUAUGGGGGUAGUGAGGUACAUGUUGAUGAGAAAUAUAUCUAUAUUGAACCUACCACAAGCUUCUAUGGUGAGUUCCAUCCCCUAUAUGUUGUUGCUUAUAAUAUCAGAUUAUCAAUUCAACUAAUGCCCUGAUCGAAGUCAACAUUCUUAUCUCUACUAUUCUCAGUAAGACAUUUCAACAGUUAACGGUAAAUGUAUGUUUAUAUGAUGUAGGUUCGUUAUGCCCCACACAUGCCACUUGUUCUACGAGGUAUUACAUGCACUAUUCCUGGAGGAAUGAAGACUGGCGUUGUUGGGAGAACUGGUGGUGGUAAAUCAACUCUUAUUCAGACACUAUUUCGCAUAGUUGAACCUGCUGCUGGUCAGAUUUUAAUAGAUGGCCUCAAUAUCUCUACUAUUGGUCUGCAUGAUUUACGGUCCAGAUUAAGCAUAAUUCCCCAAGACCCAACCAUGUUUGAGGGGACUGUGCGUAGUAACCUUGAUCCGCUUGAAGAGCACACAGAUGAACAAAUUUGGGAGGUGUGUUUCUCCUUUCUUAAAUACAGUACAAUAAAUACUUAAAGCCUGACUUCAUUGUAUUGUUGCUGCAGUAGUGAACUUAUUAAUCAUUUUAUUCUUGUUGUUUAACUAUAUGAUUAUGCAAUACUGAAUACCCUGUCUAGCUAACAAAGUGAUUACUGUAUUUGGCUAAUAGAUAUAUCUGAUUUGAUCCUCAUUAAUGUUAAAAAAAAAAAAGGAGAAAUAAAAAUUAAUUAAAGGAAAAACCUGUUACAUAUGCAUGUGUACUUUAUUUAUAAUUUCAUUAAGGCAGAUCAACACUUACACAAUGUUGACUGUUAAUGACCCUGAAAGCAUGGUGAUGCGGAGUGAUCAAUUCAUCCAACUUAUACAAAUUCUUUUUGCCUUUCUACCAUUCUGAUGACAAGUCCCCAUGCGUUUUAUCACCUUGAGUAAUCUUAACUGCUACAUGUUAUUUUGAUUUCUUAGGCUCUGAAUAAGUGCCAGCUUGGGGACGAAGUAAGAAAGAAAGAAGGAAAGCUUGAUUCCUUAGGUUUGCGCCUCUUAUUCAGCUAUUUGUCUUCAUCUAAUCGAUAUUAAAUGUGCCAUAUUAUUUCAAGAUGUCCCCAAUAUAUAAUAAAGUUCACUUGGGUAUUGCAGUUACUGAAAAUGGAGAGAACUGGAGUAUGGGCCAAAGACAAUUAGUUUGCCUUGGACGAGUUCUAUUGAGGAGAAGCCAAGUUUUGGUAUUGGAUGAAGCUACUGCAUCAGUGGACACAGCAACUGACAACUUGAUACAGCAAACACUCAGGCAGCACUUUUCGGACUCCACAGUCAUCACAAUUGCACAUCGGAUAACAUCAAUUCUUGACAGUGAUAUGGUCCUACUUCUCGAUCAUGGUUAGUAAAGUUGGUCUUACUUACUGUAAAAGCAAGUAAAUUAUACUUUAGCCCUUUAUCUUUGAUGAUAUUAUAUGUUCUUCAUGUUGGUUAUGUUUUUUGACAGGUCUCAUUGUGGAAUACGAUGCCCCAUCAAAGUUAUUAGGUGACAGUUCGUCUUUAUUUGCCAAGCUUGUUGCCGAGUAUACAGUAAGAUCCAGUUCGAGCCUUGAUCAUUGAAAUAGUCUUUGAAAGCUCAACGUUCGGUAGGAAAUUCCGCUGAGAUGCAUGGAUUGAAGAUGACAACAGCCAACCAAGGUGAUACAGCAGUAGAUUCUGUUAAUGUGGUCUUAAAGGUACUUGGUAGUGUCUUGCGUGAUCUGACCAAAGAUUUAGAGGUAGUUGUCAGUAUGCAUUCGCAAGAACUGCUAGAGUUUUAUGAUUCAACCUUGCAGAAAAUCAGUUUUACAAUGUUUGUUGAUGUAUAUACAGUACUGUAAAUUCCACGGAAGCUAUUUGAUGAAUUUCAUAUCAAAAUUCAUUCUUGCAUCUCGCAUGUUACAAUAAAGAUGUCUGUCUACCAGGACCAAUGAAUCGUGCUCGAGCUCUCUGUUAUAUCCAAUAUGCCGGAAAUAAUAAACUGAUAUAAUGUGCAUGUAACUAUAUUAAUUAGUUAUACUUGUCAAGACACAAAUUGCCUCUGAAGCAGGUGCUAGUUGAGCUGAACUGGUAAAACCUUUAGUUGAGCUGAACUGGUAAAACCUUUAGGUGAUGAUACCAGAGGUCUGGGGUUCAAAUCCCUCCAGCGUUACCGAGUUACUGAUGUCAUUAGAAACAAGCUUACCACAACAUUUUCUGCCUAACCCCAGCUUGCUUUCUGCAUAAAAUGGCCAUACAUGCUUAGUUACUAAAGAGGGUUAAAACAAAAACAAGACACGAUUAUUGGCAUGAUUAAGGUUAUAAUGCACCCUGUAAUUAAUAUAUAAUUAUGCACCAAUAUUGAAUUCAAAUUAGAGAUUUUUGGACAUCCACAUACCCCCUCCACCCUUUUGAAAGUGGAAUUUCAAGAUACCCCUAUUUGAAUUUUUUUUUUUUUUUUUGAGAUACCCCGUUUUAAGAUGUGGUGUUAUCUGAAACCAUCCAUCAUAAAACUAAUCUACGGCUGUAAAUGGUGGGCGGGUAUCUCAAUUUUUUUGUUCAAAUGGUGGGUAUCUCUAAAUUCCACUUUCAAACGAGGGGUAUGUCCAAAAAUCUCUUCAAAAUAUUUUAUCGUAUAAAAAGAGCAAAUUAUAUUGUCUUACAAAUAUAUUAAUUCUGAUUAAUGUAGUAAGGUGGGGAUGUAGCUCAAAUGGUAGAGCGCUCGCUUUGCAUGCGAGAGGUACAGGGUUCGAUCCCCUGCAUCUCCACAUCAAUUUAUAUUUGUUUUUUUGAUAAAAAUUUGAUUACGAACAAACUGCGCUGCAAGCCCUUUUUAAUAGCAAAUAUUUAUUGAAACCCGCCGUCAUCAUAUUGCUAUUCAUCACUUUUUUUACAUUUUCAUUUUAUUAUAUACUUCAUGCAUGCAUAUUGCAUAACAUAACCUACUUUUCCAACAAACAUAUCAAAUGAAACUAAUAUAAAGAGUAUGACAACCUUAUGAAUUUUUUCUCUUCCCAUCAUUCUCUUUUUGCAUUUCCAUAACUAUAUAUACUACACAAAACCAUCUUUCCAAAACCAUUACAUUACAUACAUACACAAAUAUGGGUCUUUUUACUACUCUUAUCAUCUUUUUAGGUCUUCUAAGAAUGGUUUCUUCAUCACCAUUAUCACCACCAACACCUCAUGUCAAAUCAUCACCACCAAAACUAGCUGAUCUACCAUUAGCAAUAUCUGAUAUGCGGUCGAAAUCUUAUUAUGGAUUUGUUAUCCUUCUCGACGUUUUAAAUGCUACUACUAAAUCAGGACUUAGUCAACAAGUUACAUUUUUUAUGCCUAGUGAUCAACAAUUAGCCGAGUCACGUAUUUCUCCUGAUAGACUUGAAGAAUUUGUUCUUGGUCAUACUGUUCCUGAACCUUUAGUUUAUGGUGAAUUACAACAUGUACCAAGUGGUACUCUUGUACCUUCUUUUAUGAAGAAUCAGUUGUUAAGGAUUUCUAGUAUAAGAAGACAUGUUUUUGUUAAUAAUGCGCAGAUUGUUGCACCAAAUGUUUGUAAGAGUGCUACUAUUAAAUGCCAUGGAAUUAAUGCUGUUAUUGGUAGGGGUGAGAUGGCGAGUUCAGCUGGGCCAGAUACUGAUCAAGGAAGUGACGACACUGAUCCUUAGCUAGAUUGUGUAGGGAGCGAAAGUGUCGAUCGAUGUACUGUCCUGUCGUCCUUGCUAUCUAGCUUGUUGUUAAAACUAUCCAAUAAUUAUUAAUAAAUAAAAUAUCUACAUGUUUAGAUUGUUACAACUUUUGCAUGGCUUCUUGAUAUUCAUGAUCUAGUUAUUGACAUUGUUGUCAGGGGGAUCAUUCAUAGGGUACGCGAUUACAUAAACCCGUGAAUCAGCUGAAAUGUGAUACAAUAGAAUGAAAAUGACUAAUAGACAAUCAUGCAUAUUGUUUGAAUCAAGAGGGAUGUGUGGUGUGUUUUCUUGUAUGAGCAAGUAUGGCAUGCUCUUGUUUGUCGUCAUAACUCAUAAGAAGAGUAUGCACUUAAGUUGAUCCAUUUUCGUCAAUACAUCCAACGCGAUAUCAGGCAUAAACUCAGAACUUUUUUCAUCAAAGAUAUCAAAGAUGUCAAUACAUCCAACGCGAUACCAAAUGGUUUCACAGCACAUAUAGGCAGGGGAGAAAGAUCGAGCGAGUUCAAUCUGAUAGUAUAUUUGUGAAUAGUGAUCAUACACCUAGCCAAUAGACCAGGGAUAUGAGAAGUCUGCAAUAGUGAAAUAUAAUGAUGAGAAAUAUCAUAACACCUAGCCUUAUCGACACAUUUAAGCUAAGCUAGCUUGUUUUUACAGAUGAAUAUUGCAAGUAUUUUAUGUUCUGAUGGUCGCUCGUUUUUUUUUUGUCUGUAAAUUUAUUCGACAGCAAGGUCUAAUCAACAUUAAAAAUUUAAUCGCACCUCAUUUGAUACAACUACUGCUUGGUCGUACCGAUGAUUUAAUCUUAAAUGUUUAACCUAGUUUAAAAAUAGUUCGAUGAAAAGGAUCUACUUUAUACAGACAUUUACUUGAAGUAUAUAAUUUACAGAUUGCACCCGGAGAGUCUUAAACUUUUUAAAUGCUGGCAAAAAAAUUAUCAGGUUGGAGUCAGAAUGAGAGAAUCCUACUGUCAGCAAUUUGAUAAUAUAUAUACCAGAGCAGUCAAUUUUCGAUUUUCAAUUAGACGCAAUCAGUAUGAUACCAGAACCAAGCUGUUUGAAUUAUUGUCGCUAAUUUAAGAACAUGGCAAAGUCAUCCAACAUGGUACAUGAGACGAAUGGCGUCUACCAUUUAUCUAACUUACGGAUUCUAUCCCCUGCAUCGUCAUUUCAUUUCCACCAUGUCAGCUUCCAUUAUGCUUCAUGCUUCAUGCAUAACCUGUUUUUCCAACUAACCCCUGUAAUAAACUGUUCCAUACUUGUUUGACCUGAAAUGGACAAUCAAAGAGUAUGACUAGCUCAAAUAUGUUUUUCUUUUUUUCCAACACUCACUCUCUUUUUGCAUUUACGCAACUUUUAAAUACUUCAACACCCACCUUCCAAAGAUACACACACACAAAUAUAUAUAUCUUCUCUGCUUCUCCCUUUCUCCCCACAAAAACAGAUGGGUUUCUUUACUGUUUUGAUGAUCCUUUUAGCAUUCCUCAGACUAGUCUCGUCAAUACCACCCACAGCUUCUGUCGAUACACCUAAGCUACCAGUACUACAGUCCUUGACUCCUGUCGAAACACCUGAUCUACCACCAUUUACAUCUCCUUCCAAACAACCAUCUACAUCUCCUGUCAACAACCCUGUCAAAAUACCUGAACUACCAGUGGCAAUAUCCGAUAUGCGAUCAAAAUCUUAUUUCGGAUUUGUAAUUCUUCUCAACCUGCUAAAUGCCACUACUAAAUCAGCACUUGGUCAACAAGUCACUUUCUUCAUGCCUAAUGACCAACAGUUAGCCACAUCAACGAUCUCUCCAGGUGGACUUGAUGACUUUGUACUCACUCAUACAGUCCCAGAACCUCUAAUCUUCAGUUCAUUGGCGCGUGCACCCAAUGGAACCCUUAUUCAGUCCUUCACAACAAACCAGUUCUUAAGAAUUUCUAACAUCGGGAGACGUGUCUUCAUUAAUAAUGCGCAUAUUGUGACAAGAAAUGUGUGUUCAAGUGAUACGAUAAAGUGCCAUGGAAUCAGCGCAGUCAUUAACACUUCGUUGAAUCAGACAGUUAGCUAGUGAAUGUUGUCAGUCUUGUUAAAAUCUAUUAACUGAUUAUCAAUAAAAAUUUAAGAUGACUACUUGUACAAUUUUUUUCUGAUGGAAUUUUUUGCAAUCUAUAAAAUAUCGCAAUUAUUACAAAAUACACAGUUCUUGAAAUCACGGCACAGUAUAUGCAAAAGAAAAGAUCAAGUCUGACAUUUUUAUGUUUAACGGUUCCAGAAUACAUCAAGCUCGAAUGCAGCUCAAAUGAUCAAUAUAAAAAGUAAACUUACGAUUUCAACAUUGUAAUCGAGUUUGCAACAAAAUAUUUCAUUAUCAGGGUCAGAUAGAGUUGUGAGAAAUCGGAACUCAUAUUACUAUUGUACGUGCAACAUUGCAGUAUCACAUUAUGAUAGCAAGAAGUAGAGUUCAACCCUACUGAUUUGUAGUUAAAUUGCUGUUUUCAUAUAGCUUAAUAAUCAAACAAGACAUAAAUGUACCUGAUGAGAUGAUGUAAAGGCCUACAAUCAACUUGUUCAUGCAUCAGAAUAGUUGAACCCUUCCUAAUCUUCUGCCGCUGAUUCUUCAAGAUGCUAACAUUUAUAUAACCAAGUACACAGCAUAUAUGGACCUCAGACUUGAAAAGAGAUCGACUUCUCUGUAGGCUAUAGCUUAGGCUAAAAGGCGGGUAACGUUCUGACACAGAUUGAUACGAAAUAUCUAUAUAAUUAUACUGAAUGUUACAUUUUAUUCAGAAUUGUUGAACUACUUGUAUGGAAAGAAUAGCUACACAUGUAACUGAAUCUGACUGCAAUGCAGCAACACAAGGCUCUUUAGCAUGAUUUAAAGUACGUAAAGCAAACUUUUCAGCCUCAGAAUAUGGAGCUAAUAUAAACUAGACGAGCAACUUUUGUAUGAAGACUUCCCCUCACGAUGAAUGGUAGAGACCUAUAGAUUUGGGUGGUGUACAUACUAUAACCCUGGCUUCUGCCCCCCGAUCGCCCCCCUCUUCUUUAGAACUAGCAUUGUUUUUAGUUUGUCAUCUGCAUAAUUUGCUCAUUAAGAAAAAAACCUAUAACGAGAUCAUAGUCUUUUUUUUUUUUUGUAAAGCUUCCCAUAGAAUUCGUCAGUUUUUUCGUCAGCCUAAGACUCAUAUUUAGUUUUUAUCAUGUUACAGCUUAAUUUUCUAUCCAAGGAUCUUCGUCAGUCUUUUGGCUGUAUAAUGCUGCCAUCAAGGAACUCUUAGUGGUUAAUACUAUACUAUUACUAUGUGAUCGGUUCGAUUUAUAGAUCACAAACAUUCAGAAAACCAGUAUGUAAGGUUUUAUAAUUUGGCGAAAAUCUAUUUCUUCUCGGAAGUGUCAUUUAGUCAUCGGUUUUCAAUUGACAAGCAAAAGCACUUUAAUAAAUUCACCUUAUUUGUUUACAAAACACAAAAACAAAGAUAACAUAGAGCACCUUCUUUUACAUACAAGAGGCAUAGGUUAUGAACUUAUGAUCCCCUGUAUUUUAUUGCUUCAACAAAAGAUUGCACCCUAUAUCAUGCAUAACCUACCUUCCCAACUAACCUCUAAAACAACUGCAUAUUUAGUAUUAACUUUCAUACCUUGGCUUUCUUACUGUAGACAAAUAAAGAGUAUGAUCAUCUAACUCAAAUCUGCAUCUUUCUCUCUUUAGUCACCCUUUUCGCGUUUUCACAAUAUAUAUACUCCUACAACCACCCUCCAAAUCAGUCUCUCCUACACAACAAAUACACACUUGAUCUCUCUCUACCUCUCUCUCUUUCUCACCUACUCUCGAACUAUGGGUCUUUCGAUUAUUUUCAUCCUUUUUUCACUCCUGAGAAUGGUUUCUUCAGCACCACCGGCAGCUCAUCCAGUUACUACUCCCGGAAAAUUAACUGAUCUAUCGCAGGCAAUAACUGAUAUGCGAUCAAAGUCUUAUUAUGGAUUUGUAAUCCUUCUCGAUAUGCUGAAUACAACUGCUAAAUCUACUCUAAGUCAAGAAGUUACUUUCUUCAUGCCUAUUGAUAGUCAGUUAGCUGAGUAUCCAAUCUCCCCUGAUAGACUUGUAGACUUCAUACUUAGUCAUUCGAUCCCAGAACCGCUUGUAUUCAGUGAACUGGCUCAUGUACCAACUGGUACUCUUAUACCAUCUUUCCUCAAUGACCAGUUCAGGAUCUCUAGACUUGGGAGACAUGUCUUUGUUAAUAAUGCGCAAAUUGUUGCACCAAAUGUGUGUUCAAGUACUACAAUAAGAUGCCAUGGAAUCAACGCAGUUAUUGAUAAACGGAAGAAUCAUUUCGAUUCAGCUUCUAGUACUCUUUCACAAGGAAAUAAUACCAAGUCCUAGAUCAAUUCUACUGAUUGCUGGUGCAGCUCAUAAAUGUGUGAUGUAUUGUCGACAGUGUCCCGUUAAAUUUACUAUUGUUACAAAUUUAGAUAAUUACCUGUUCUAUUUUUUUUUUCCCAAUAGCUUCAUGAUAUAUAUUGACAGUAUUCUGAAAAUGAAAUAGCACUUGUCUGUAGUGGUCAUGUUCUGUCAUUCUCUGUUUACACUUAAUACAUCUUUCCAUUCAUCAUUCGACAAAGAACUUCAAUUCCCUUGCUUUCUAUCUGAACUAGUAAUCCAUAUCAAUCUGCAAGAUGGAACUAUGACUACGAUAUUUUCCGUGAGAGAUGAUGAAAAUAUGUUGAUAGCAAGCAUAUAAGUACACCUAAGUGUGUUCAUCAACUUAGCAUGACAGGGAUGUGAAUUCACUAACUUAGCAUGAAGAAGUAAUCUGUGGAAAAUGCCGAAGACAAUAUAUGAACUAAUUUCAAGAGAUCGUUCUGCGCAAGGAGUUGUCAUUGUUGAAGACAUUGUAAGCUUCUGGUUAUAAAAGUUCCUAAGAAGUCCCACUCAGUAGUCCAGAUCCCCUGCCUUCUUAAGGAUCAAGAAAUAGGCAAAGGGAGAAAAGCAGAGUUCUAUCUGCUAUUGUCAACGGCAAAUUUUUUAUCGUACGACAUUUCAGUUAGUUGUCGUCAGUAAUAUAAUCAUGUAUAAUUUUACACCAAUUUAUAGAAUUAGAUGAUAACACCAGCUACAAGCUUGCAUGACUUACAGUCUUACACCAAGAUGACUGGAAGUGAAUAUACAUAAGUAGAAAAAUGAGCAAAAACUCCGUAGGGAGAUUCCACUCUUGGAUUUAUGAUUGUUUACAAUGAAAAAUAGCUAUCCCAAAGCGACGUAAAACCAUAAGCAAAAUUAAAGAAAAGAAUCAUAUAACAUAUAAGGCUUGUUUACAGAUGAAGAGAAGUGUCAACUUCAUUAUUAUCACGAAUAUACGAUGUUCUGAAGGUAGCUCUAUUCGUCGUAUGCCAUAAAUUCAACGAUAGCCGUGACUCAACAUCCCCAUAAUCAGUUCGUUUGUUCUGAAACUCCUGUCGAAAGGAAUUAGGAGAACCUUGUGAAGAUGACGAUGAAGGAGAUAAACUCAGUUCCGGAUUACAGUAUCUCCUGCUAGAUGUCUUAUAAUGCAUGGUUGAAGAACUAAUCCUACUUUCUUGCUCUGGAAACAGUCUUAAUAGUUCUCUUUGUUCUCUCAUCUCUUUCAUUUUCUCCAACUGUUUGAACCUUUCUUGUAAUAAAGCAAUAGAUGAAUGUGUAACAACAAGCUCACUAUCUUGCCUACCCAUUAAGUAAAACUUAUACAAAGAAUAGUUGCCUUUGAAAGCCUUGUAAAAGGGGUAUUUAUAAUGAAAGUAUAAUGAUGGUUUUGCUUCAAAAUUUAUACACAAAUUAACCUACAUAUACCUUCCAUUGAUUCUAAUAGGGAUAUAGGAAUCGGCAGAUAAUAAGCAAAAUCCAACAAGUAAAGGUUCUGUGACUAGCCUUAGGAUGCUUGGCAUGGUAGGGUUGAAGGCAAAAGGACUACUAUGAAAGAAAAAUGUAAGAAGAAAAUCCAAACAAGUAUGGAAUUUAGCUAAUGGAAAGAUGUGUUUACAAGAAUAUAAGAAGGUUGAUUGAUGGUUUGUCUUCUUGUUUAAAUGAUUUCAUAUAGCUUUGGUUGAGAUGAUGGUGAAGCCAUUUUUUCUCUAAGUUGUAUAUGAUUUCCUUAUUUGAACUUCACAGAUAAGUUAUGAAGAUAAAACAAAGUAAGAAAGAAUAACUUUUGGAAUUCCAUGUUGUGAUUAGAUUUACACAUAAAAUGUGUGAUAAUAAUUCCAGGUAGAAGAUAAAGAAAGAUACCUAACCAAAGCCUCCAUUUUACAUGUCUUUUUGAGUUGUUUUCAUACUUUAACUUGCAUGCUAAAAAGCAUCUUUAAUAACAACAGCAAAAGCUACUAUUGUUUCAUUUUCCUUGUAUUUUUUUCCCUUUUGUCCAUUUUACGCCGCGAUAGCACUACCACCCCUUCUGCUUGAGGACUCUGAGGACUCCAUAGCACUUUGCUACUCAAUCUUCGUCACUCUUACACCCUAACUCACUUCUGCACUGGGAAGGAUUCACUAUAAGGCAUACACACACUACUUUUUGUCUACAUAAGAUCCUACAUAGUGUCGCCAUGACAUUGGUAGUAUUUGCUUACAUCCCUAUCAGUUAGAAGGUCUCUGCAAUGUGUUCAAUACAUUGUAAUAUGUAUUGUUAGAAGGUCUACAUCUACAACUGGUCAUGAGGUUCAAUGAAUUAAGCUAAUCUUCAUGCAGUUGAAUUAUUUAUUUCUUAAAAAUGAUUGAAGUAAAGAAUACUAUUCUUGCAUCAUCAGCUGCUAAUAAUAGAUCAUGACAAAACAACAAUAAAGACAGAUGAUUUAGGUCUCUAUUUAGUAUUAGUGAUAAUGCAUCCACAUGCAGAUAAAUUCUCCUUCUAACCCUGCCGACAUCUAUUUAGAUCAUUUUCUAAAAAUUCAGUCUGUCGAUUGACAUAACAACAUAAGAACUGAUUUGUUGUAACUAUUCCACCUGGAAUGUACGUGUUCGCAACACUGAAGUAUGCUUUUUGCUGCUUGUCUUCUCAUUUAUUAGUUAUGUUUUCCGUUGGUGCCAAGAAGCAGAGCAAUAUGUUCUUUAUAAAGAACAUGUGCCAGCCAUCUAUGAUUUGUGGUGUGACAUAAGUGCACUCGAUCUACUUCUUCCCUAAAGGGAUAUAUUACAAAAAAUACUACCGAAAACACUAAUAAAUCACAAAUAUUAGAUAUUUAUAAUACAAAUAAAGCUGGCACAACGCCCUGAGUUUGAUUUAUAUCUAUGAAACCAUCGUAAUUUCCUGUAACUAUUAAAAUUUGUUUUUAUCCAAGCAAACAUAUCAAGAACUCCAAAAACAACAAAAAUGAAUGGACAGAAAAGCUCGCACUGCGGCAAGAAGGAGACUUCUUCCCAGAGAAAAUCUAACAGCGCUGCUGCGGCAGAUUUUCAAAAGCUAAACAUUUAUGUUUUUUUCCAUUA
rnacentral:lncRNA from 1 species